UACGUAGGGUGCGAGCGUUGUCCGGAAUUAUUGGGCGUAAAGGGCUCGUAGGCGGUUUGUCGCGUCGGGAGUGAAAACCUCGGGCUUAACUCGGGGCUUGCUUUCGAUACGGGCAGACUAGAGGUAUGCAGGGGAGAACGGAAUUCCUGGUGUAGCGGUGAAAUGACGCAGAUAUCAGGAGGAACACCUGAGGCGAAGGCGGGCUACUGGGCCGAUACUGACGCUGAUGUGCGAAAGCCAGGGGAGCGAACGGG
rnacentral:rRNA from 1 species